rnacentral:tRNA from 1 species
GUGGGUAUGGCUCAGUGGUAGAGGGUGCACUUAGCUUGCAGGAGGUCCUGGGUUCAAUCCCCAGUGCCUCCA